AACAGGCCCCACAUCCUGUGUGGGGUUUUGAAGGGUUUAACUGCACUUGCUUUGGGUUUUCUGGUUCACCCCUUUCCUUUGUCGACAUUUGGGAUCAGCGAGUUCAUCCCAAGGCUCCCUUUUCUCCCAUCNNNNNNNNNNCCCAUCCUUUAUGAACAUUUGGGAUCAGCGAGUUCAUCCUGAGGCUCCCUUUUCUCCAAUCCUUUAUGAACAUUUGGGAUCAGUGAAUUCAUCCUGAGGCUCCCUUUUCCCCCCAUCCUUUAUGAACAUUUGGGAUCAGCGAGUUCAUCCUGAGGCUCCCUUUCCCCCCAUCCUUUAUGAACAUUUGGGAUCAGCGAGUUCAUCCCAAGGCUCCCUUUUCNNNNNNNNNNGGCAGGGCGGGGUGGCCGUGCCAGGCAGCCCCUGGAGCGCCAUUCCCAGCGGGAAUGCCGGGGAAUAGGGGGGAGGAGAGCCUGGAGGCGCCGGGAGGGGAUGAAUUGGGUGGGCAGCGGGUUUGGGGUGCCGGGAGGUGACAGACGGACAAACGGACAUGCCGGGAGGUGACAGCGGCCCCGGCGUGGCAGCAAAGCGGAUCCCGCAGCUCGUGGAGCUGGGGCGGCCCUCGGGCAGGAUGUUUCCCUCGCCGGGCUGCAGGAGGGGCUUUUCCAGGGAGCCCGCCCCGUGGUGGGAUGGGCCGCGGCCGUGUCCUCCUGCUGGCCCCGAGGACGCCUGGAACGAGCCACCCUGGGAAGAGCCACCCUGGGAAGGGCCACCUCGGAAUGGGCCACCUCGGAAUGGGCCACCUCGGAAUGGGCCACCCUGGGACGGGCCACCCAGGGAUGGGCCACCUCAGAAUGGGCCACCCUGGGACGGGCCACCCUGGAAUGGGCCAUCCUGGGACGGGCCACCCAGGGAUGGGCCAUCCUGGGACGGGCCACCCUGGAAUGGGCCACCCAGGGAUGGGCCACCCAGGGAUGGGCCACCCUGGGAUGGGCCACCUCGGAAUGGGCCACCCUGGGAGCACCAGCACAGGAGCCACCGGCACAGGAGGAGCCCGCCCUGUCCCAGAGCCCCCAGACCCUUCCCUGGCCCUGGCGACGUCCCGUGGAAGGAGGAGGAGGGGGACAGGAGGUGGGCACCCCACGACUGCCCCCCGCCACCCCCUUGGGAUGGCAGAGAAGCCGUCCCACGACCUGAGGACGGCUUUGGAGAAAUCUGGUACCAGGAUGUGCUGCCGGACCCCUGGCCCGAAUUCCCCGAGGAGGAGCAGCCCCCGCCCGGCCCUCCAGGGAAUCCAGGGACUUUCGGGGACCACCGCCCGCCCUGGAGGCAUCGCCCGGCCGGGAGGCGACCCAGCCACCUCCAGCAGCCGGUCCUGGUCCCCCGGGCGUGGUGUCCCCGGCCGCCCCGAGGGCACAAGGCUCGCUCCAAGCCCUCCUCCCCUGCCCACUUCAAGCGGAGCCAGCCGGCGGCCAGGAAGGAGCUGCAGCCCCCGGAGCCUCCCCAGCCUCCUGCUCCUCUCCCAGACGCUGGGGAAAGGCCGGAGCAGCCGCAGGUGUGGGGUUUUACCUGUCCCCUGCCCGUCCCACAGCAGGAGUGGGCUCCCCCUCAGCCUUGUCCUGGUUUCCUCCAGGAUGUGCCAGCAGCGGCUGGGAAUGUCCUGGAGCCCCCCAGUCCUGCCAGGAGCCCUCAGGAGAGCCCCGGGUCACCGGUAGGAGAUUCCCUGGUCCCAGGGGUGCUCCCAGCUCUGGAGCUGCCUGGCUCAGGGGCGUCCUUGGCUGCUGUGACAUCUCCCUCCUCUCUCAUCCAGCCUUUCCCCUCUCCACCUCGCUGUCUCUUUGCCAGGCAUGGAACUUUUCCAGGCUGUUCUCUCCAUGGUUUCCUGUGGGUUUUAGCACCCUGACCGUCCCAUCCCGGGACAGACACGUGUCCUCACGCCAUUGCCUGUCCCCAGGUGGAGCUGGAAGCUGGGCAGACCCCUGUGGGCAGCCAGGAUCAGGAUCCCUGCGCUGCAGGAGCAGAUCCAGCCCCUCCAGAGGAGAUCUCCGGCUAUGCUGAGAUCCAGGAGCACCUCGAGGUAUGGCACUGCUGGGAAGUGGCACAGGAGCAGCUCCAGGCUCCCCAAAAUCCUCCCCCUGGAGGUGUUUUCCUAAAUCAGAGCCUGCAGGGAAGCACAGUCCCCUUCCCAAACCCUCUGUCCCCUCACCGUGGACUCCACAAAGCCCCUGCAACGUUUGCACAGUGCGAGGAACCAAG
ensembl:lncRNA